rnacentral:misc_RNA from 1 species
CGAGAGUGAAAACUCCAAACCAACUGUUUAUCUACCUGUUUGUUGCUUCGGCAGGCGGGCCCCCGGGGGGUUUCGUCUACCUGGUCCCGCCAGGCGCCUGCCGAAGGCACCCAGAACUCUUGUCGUCAGUUGUCAUCUGAGUACAAAAAAAAAUGAAUCA